rnacentral:rRNA from 1 species
UGCCCAGACUCCUACGGGAGGCAGCAGUGGGGAAUAUUGCACAAUGGGGGAAACCCUGAUGCAGCGACGCCGCGUGAAGGAAGAAGUAUUUCGGUAUGUAAACUUCUAUCAGCAGGGAAGAAAAUGACGGUACCUGACUAAGAAGCCCCGGCUAACUACGUGCCAGCAGCCGCGGUAAUACGUAGGGGGCAAGCGUUAUCCGGAUUUACUGGGUGUAAAGGGAGCGUAGACGGCAUGGCAAGUCUGGUGUGAAAGGCAGGGGCUCAACCCCUGGACUGCAUUGGAAACUGUCAGGCUGGAGUGCAGGAGAGGUAAGUGGAAUUCCUAGUGUAGCGGUGAAAUGCGUAGAUAUUAGGAGGAACACCAGUGGCGAAGGCGGCCUGCUGGACUGCAACUGACGUUGAGGCCCGAAAGCGUGGGGAGCAAACAGGAUUAGAUACCCCAGUACU